GGGUCUGGAGAAUAGCAUAGAAUGUAUGAGUGUAGUGGUGGUGGAGGUGAGGAUGAGGAUGAGGAAAUACCUGACACUCCAGGGUCUUGGAGAACUGUUAGUCAAAGGACAGGGCAGGGAAGAGAGAAACGGUCUCUAGAGCAGGAUGAAACUAAUGAGGGGAAUAGAGCGGUAAGAAGGAAACUUUGUAAGGAAGACGAUCUAAGGGUAAUAAUUAAGUUUAAAGAAGGGCAUGAUGUAAGCGAUGUUGGGUUGUUUGUAUUGACACAGGGGCUGAAGAAAGCACUGGGAGAAAUAGACAUGGCAAAGAUACUGCGGGAUGGUAGGUUACUGAUUAAGUGUAAAAAUACUAGCCAAAGGGAUAAGGCUCUGAAAUUUCAGUCAGUAUGCAAGAAAGAAGUAAGUGAGGUUAAGAAGUUUGGGGAGUGGGGAGCGAAAGGGGUCAUAUCAGGAAUCCCGCUGGGGGAGAAAUUGGAGGAUAUCAGGAAAGUCAUUAAAGGAGGGACGGUGUUGAGCGUGAAAAGACUUCAAGCAAAGCGGAAUGGUGAAAAAGUGGAUAGUACCUCUGUUCUCCUGGAAUUUAAAGAGCAAAUGUUACCGGAGAGAGUAACAAUAGGCUACAUGACCCAGAUAGCAAGGUGACAUUGAUAUGAUGUUGAUUUUCCAUCUAAAUCAUCAUUUUGGUUGAGAUUGAAAUCUCAAUGGUAAAUCGACAUUGAAACAGCAUUACAAUCCUGACAAAAACCCGACAGUGCAAGAGCAUUGAUAACAGAUGCAUUGAAACAACAUUGGUUUAUAGUUCAUAUUGUCAUAAUCGAUAGAGCAUCGAUAUAGCGUUCACGAAAAGACAUUGAAAAGUCGUGGAUUUAUGAUUGACUGGAAAUCUUAACGUGGUGAUUGAAAAGUGGUGGGUUUAUAGAUGACCGCGCGACGACAUUUAAACUGUUUGCGGGUCGGGAGAACAUUAGGAGCAACAGUUCAGUCAGACCAACGGUGUUCAACUCUCUCUCAAGUUCGUCGCUCCUAAUGCUGGAUGGUGGAGGAUGACUAGCUGCAACCGGGAGGUUUAUGGAUGAAUGGAUGGCAGUGAAGCACAGCACACAUGGAUUUCUAAGUGAAGAGUGGAUAAAUAAAUUGCACUUGCCUUUCAAACUGAAGAAGUUGUCCAUGGCCUACCUACGUUUUCACUGGAUGGUGGACGAUGACUGCAACCGGGAAGUGUAUGGAGGGAUGCUAUACGGAAUGGAUGGCAGUGAAGCACAGCACAUGUGGAUUUCUGAAUUAAGAGUGGAUGAAUAAAUGCACUUGCUUUUCAAACUGAAAAGAAGUUGUCCAUGGUUAUUUGUGCAAGCUUGUGUAGCCUAAACCAGACAUAGCCUACAGCCUAGCUUCUGGCUAGCCUAAUUUAUCCUGGCUGUAGAUAAAGCAGGAUAUGAAUUUACCAAUAUUUUGCCUGCUUAAUACUGGUUUACUGUGGUUUAAUAUCAAUUGAAAUACCAUUGAAAUCACGUUGAUCUUUAGUAGGGCUGUAGCCUAAUUUCAACGUUGUUUCAAUAUUAAUUUUCAUUGAAACAGCAUUGAAAUUCCAUUGAUUUGUAGUAACACUUUCGACGUUGGUUCAAUGAUAAUAGAGGGUGCAAAAUGUUGUAGAAUCAACGUUGCAGUGCGAUGUUGAUUCAAUGAUUCUAGUGUUGACGAGGUAAUGUUGAUUUAACGUAGAUUCAAUGACUAAUUGCUAUC